CAAUAGCGUAUAUUUAAGUUGUUGCAGUUAAAAAGCUCGUAGUUGGAUUUCGGUUAAGAGCGACCGGUCCGCCGUUUGGUGUGCACUGGUUGGUUUUAACUUCCUGUAGAGGACGUGCUCUGGGUUUAACGACCUGGACUCGGAGUCUACGUGGUUACUUUGAAAAAAUUAGAGUGUUCAAAGCGGGCUUACGCUUGAAUAUUUCAGCAUGGAAUAACACUAUAGGACUCCUGUCCUAUUUCGUUGGUCUCGGGACGGGAGUAAUGAUUAAGAGGAACAGUUGGGGGCAUUCGUAUUUCAUUGUCAGAGGUGAAAUUCGUGGAUUUAUGAAAGACGAACUUCUGCGAAAGCAUUUGCCAAGGAUGUUUUCAUUAA
rnacentral:rRNA from 1 species